UUCGUCGGGGGUGAUCCCUAAUCAGGUAUGUGAGUUCUUUGUGUGGGUUGAUCAUUUCCCCCACACACCAAGCUCAUGUUUAUGGUUUGAGAAAAGAUUGAAUUUGUUGUUGAAGUUGUUAGUUGUUGUUGAUGUUGUUAGUUGUGUUGUUGAAGUUACUGUUGGUUGUGGGACAUGAUUGGGCUGUGUUUUUUAGUGGAAUCCACUGUAUGUUGAGGGGUUUAUGAACCCAAGUGUUUGGGAAAAGAACCUUUGAAGUUAAUAGGGUUUAGAGUUGGCAACAUGAAGGAGGAAAGUCAGGCUGCUUGCAGGAAGCAAGUCUGCGUCGCGGCUGUGUUCCCUCUGUGAACAAAAUCUGCUUUGUUUUCAGAAUUUAAUUUCGUAGUUCUUCUUAAGUUUAGUUGUCCUAAAUUAUUCCUAAAUAUCAUGGGGUCCUUCCAAACACAAAUCAUUACCCUUGAAUUCAUAAUCCAAGUCAAGUAAAGUUAGUUUCCAAGUCAAGUGAAGUUAGUUUCCAAGUCAAGUAAAGUUAGUUUCCAAGUCAAGUGAAGUUAGUUUCCAAGUCAAGUAAAGUUAGUUUCCAAGUCAAGUGAAGUUAGUUUCCAAGUCAAGUAAAGUUAGUUUCCAAGUCAAGUGAAGUUAGUUUCCAAGUCAAGUAAAGUUAGUUUCCAAGUCAAGUGAAGUUAGUUUCCAAGUCAAGUAAAGUUAGUUUCCAAGUCAAGUGAAGUUAGUUUCCAAGUCAAGUAAAGUUAGUUUCCAAGUCAAGUGAAGUUAGUUUCCAAGUCAAGUAAAGUUAGUUUCCAAGUCAAGUGAAGUUAGUUUCCAAGUCAAGUAAAGUUAGUUUCCAAGUCAAGUGAAGUUAGUUUCCAAGUCAAGUAAAGUUAGUUUCCAAGUCAAGUGAAGUUAGUUUCCAAGUCAAGUAAAGUUAGUUUCCAAGUGAGCUAAAGUAUUUUGGGAGUAGUAUUGAGCACCGAAUUGGGAACACGAGUUCAUAUUAACUCAACUCUCCAUAAGAACCAUGUAGCCAAACAUGGGAUUUCUCGGGUCAUACUUUUUAGAUGAUCACGAAAGUUAAGCUAGUGGAUCCGCUAAGCAAAAGUAAGGUCCUAUAUCGAUGGCACGGUAUAGGAUGGUCCUUGGGCAACGUGAGGUAAAACGUUGUAUCAUCACUAAGGCUCAUAGUGGUGGUUGUCGGUAAAGAACCUCCCACAAAAGUUAUAUUACUUUUAUAUAAGUAAAGUUGAGUUUAUUAUCGUUUUAUCUUUAACGAACUAAGCUGUUUAUACUGUUUUACCAAUUUUUAUAUAUAUAUUGCACGUGUCUUAUUGCUUUAUAUUGAGUUCAAUUAUUCAAGAUGCGGGUAUCCAGAGUUGAGUAUCUAUCUUUGAGUUGAGUAUCUAUCUCUGAAUUGAGUAUCUAUCUCUGAGUUAAGUAUUUAUCUUUAAGUUGAGUAUCUGUCUCUGAGUUCAGUAUCUAUCUUCUGAGUUGAGUAAGUUUGAGUAGCUUUGAGUAUUCCUUGAGUUGAGAAAGUUUGAAAAGAGGUAAGUUAUUCAGUUUAUUCCAGUUUUUCUUCUAGCCUAUGUUGUUUAGCUUUCCAGCUUACAUACUCGUACAUUCCACGUACUGAGCCAUUCGGCCUGCAUCUUCUUAUGAUGCAGACACAGGUAUUCAGGAUCAUCAACAGGAGAUUCGUUGAUACAUCCGGGAGUUCCAGUUAGCUAUGACAAGCCUCCUUGCUUUCGAAGGAUUUCAUUUACCUUUCAGUUGUAUCAGUUGUUAGGAGGUCGUGGGUCUUGUCCCGGCUUCCAUCUUUAUCAGUUAGAGGCUUCAUAGAUAGACAGUAGAGUUCCAGAAGUCUUUUCAUUUAUUUUGUUAAAUAUUUUGAAGACUAAAGUUGCCUUUU
rnacentral:lncRNA from 1 species